AGAUAAAGAAAGUGUGAAAGCGAUCAAUCCACGACGCGCUUGUGCGUUGGUAUUUUGCUCACUGGUUUGCGUGGAAGUUAAGGCGCCCUGGGGGUAGAGUAAAACAGAUUAACAUGCAUGAGUGGAGGCUAAAGUGCUCUCGUGAAUGAAGACCUAUUUGCUGUCAUGGUGACAUCAAUCAUACCAUUGUUUUAGACGCUGACUCAGGCUCUGGGUUAUGCUUGAAGCCCACAGACAAAAUAAUAAAAUGCUUCAUGCGUGAAUAUGGUGACCGGGCAACACAUGAGAAGAAACUUAAAUAAAUGAAUGAGUGAAAUAAACCAACAAAUUAAAAGUACCCAAAGGAAAAAAAUGAAGUGAAAAUGAAAUGUAUAUAGUGAAAUGUCUACAGUAUAGCGCAAAUAAACACUGCGAAUUAUGA